rnacentral:rRNA from 1 species
AGUGAAUAGAUACCCUGGUAGUCCACGCCCUAAACGAUGUCGACUAGGUGUUCGGUGAGGAGACUCAUUGAGUACCGCAGCUAACGCGUGAAGUCGACCGCCUGGGGAGUACGGUCGCAAGAUUAAAACUCAAAGGAAUUGACGGGGACCCGCACAAGCGGUGGAUGAUGUGGAUUAACUCGAUGCAACGCGAAAAACCUUACCUACCCUUGACAUGUACGGAACCCUGCUGAGAGGUGGGGGUGCUCGAAAGAGAGCCGUAACACAGGUGCUGCAUGGCUGUCGUCAGCUCGUGUCGUGAGAUGUUGGGUUAAGUCCCGCAACGAGCGCAACCCUUGUCAUUAGUUGCUACGCAAGAGCACUCUAAUGAGACUGCCGGUGACAAACCGGAGGAAGGUGGGGAUGACGUCAAGUCCUCAUGGCCCUUAUGGGUAGGGCUUCACACGUCAUACAAUGGUCGGUACAGAGGGUUGCCAAGCCGCGAGGUGGAGCCAAUCCCAGAAAGCCGAUCGUAGUCCGGAUCGCAGU